ensembl:lincRNA
UUAAAAAUAUGGCUGGGGAGUUUGUGCCAGACCCCAGAUGCCCUUUGUAUAAUGAGAUUUUAUUUUUGUUCCAGAUUCCAAUACAGGAUUCUCAAUAUGUUUGUUGAAGACAGUCCUGUUCAGCUUGGGUCUGAUCAUCAUGAUCUCUGCUGUCAUUGGAGUCCAUGUCAGGGAGAUCCUGAGGGACAGAGACUUCCUGGCUCACCUGGUGAACACUUGAGCUCUUCCAUUUCAAGACAGGACAAAUACCUGAGAGUCUUCUGCUCAACUCAAGUGGCAUUUUGUUAUUUUCUUGGAAAUUCUGUUCUUGCAGAAAUCUGGAAUCUUCUGUGUGUUCAGACCAUUUUCAGGGAUCAAGAGGAGAAUCAUAAUGAAAUGAUGAGAAUGUUUUAAAACUUUUUUUUUCUUUUCUCAGAUAAACUGUAGAAGUAAAGUUGAGAUUAAGAAUUAUUUGUGUGAAACACAAUAUCACUUUUUUUUAAAUUCUGUCUAAGACACAUUAGUCUGCUUUGGAGAGGGGAGACUGGACAGGAAUUGAGUAAAGAUGAAAAUCUUUUCAUGGCCAAAUGUUUCAUGCAAAAAGAAUCCUUAUGAUGCAGUCUUCAUAAUCCUAAUUUAACAAGUGUUAAUGAUUGUAAAUAAGAAAAGAGUCUGAAUUAAAGAUGAACUACUGGUGGUAUUACCAAGAAUACAGACCUAUAUUUUCUGUUAAUUGUUAUUCAUAGUAUUCUUUGUUAACUCUUUUGUAAACAAGAUGUAUUGUAGCUUCAUAGCUCAAUCUUCAAAGAUUUCCAGGAACUGGAUUUAUUUGACAACGUGGCAAUAUUGUUAUAGCUAUUGUAUUUUAAAAACAUAGCGUAAAAAUGUAUUCAUUUGGGUGAUCUCUUUAAAUGAAAUUUUGUUCUUUUCUUGGAAAUUCUGUUCUUGCAGAAAUCUGGAAUCUGGAAUCUGUGUUAAUACAAUUUUCAGGGAUGAAGAGGAGAAAGAGGAGUGGUGUGAUGAGAAUGUUUUAAAACUGUGUUUUAUUAUUUUCUCUUAGAUCAACUAGAGAAGUAAAGAGCAGAUGAAGAAAAACUUAUGGGAAGCACUAUAUAACUUUUCUAAGAAUUAUUUUUAAUUAGACACAUUAGUCUGCUUUAGAGAGGGAACACUGGACAGAAUUUGAGAAAACCCUUUUGUGGCCACAUGUUUCAUGUUAAAAAAAAGCCUUAUCCUGCCAUCUUCAUAAUCCUAUUCAAUCAGCUGUGAUUGAAUUAUUAUAUAAAUUCUAGCAAAUUGCAAUGCAUUUUCUCAAAGGCAACACUUUUUCAAACCUUUUGCAGUACUGUUUAACUGGCUCAUAUGUAUUGCAUAUGUAUUCUGAUACUGUCUUAGCCUUUCGACUCAAUGCAUUAAACCUCUCAAAGAUUAUAAACUAUUUUGAAUAAGGAGCCAUUAUUGCCUACAGUAUAUACUGCAUGCAUGGAAAUAGAAAUAAAGAGGCCAAAUACCUCUAAAAGUCCUUAACUUUCAUGUGUACUGUAAGAAGUUUAUUUUCCUUUAAACUUCCAUGCUGAACUUUCAAAUAUUUAGUACAUAAGACAAAAAUGAAUAUUUGUAAAUUUUAUGUCCACACAUAGUGACUUUAGUAGCAUGUCAUAUAGAAACUGGUCAAGCCAUUUUCCUUUGUGUUAUUUUCCUUAACUGUAUGCAAAAGUCGAACUACAUUAAUUUGAGCUGGUUAAUGUGUUUAGUCAUAAAAAGUAGUUCUCCCAUUAUCACAAAUGUUCUAUUACUGUUUUUAUUAAGCUUGUUUUAAAAAGGCCUUAGAUGAAAAACAUUAAACUACUUUUGAAGUACAACUACUUUUUAAACGAAUGUUCUGAAAAACUAUUUAAUCAAUUGUAUUGUCUAUUGUAACAUCUUUUUAUUGCAUUAAAAAGAAGUGUUAAAAAGCUUACUUCUUGCCACUCCAGUGUGUCAGGUGUCUAUCAGUGGCACCUCUUCAUUGGUGCUGAACGGCACUCUGGGGCAGUCAGUUACUCUGCCCUCAGGGUUUGAUGAGA